rnacentral:rRNA from 1 species
AUGGAGAGAUAUAGGGAGCAAAAGGACUUGCAUAUGGUGUUCAUUGACUUGGAGAAGGCCUAUGAUAAGAUACGGCGGAAGGUCGUGUGGUGGGCCUUGGAGAAACACAAAGUCCCAGCAAAGUACAUUACCCUCAUCAAGGACAUGUACGAUAAUGUUGUGACAAGUGUUCGAACAAGUGAUGUUGUCACUGAUGACUUCCCGAUUAAGAUAGGACUGCAUCAGGGGUCAACUUUGAGCCCUUAUCUUUUUGCCUUGGUGAUGGAUGAGGUCACAAGGGAUAUACAAGGAGAUAUCCCAUGUUGUAUGCUCUUUACGGAUGAUGUGGUGAGUCGGAUGGGGGUAAACAGGAAGUUAGAGUUAUGGAGACAAACCUUGGAAUCGAAAGGGUUUAGGCUUAGUAGAACCAAAACUGAGUACAUGAUGUGCGGUUUCACUACUACUAGGUGUGAGGAGGAGGAGGUUAGCCUUGAUGGGCAGGUGGUACCUUAG